UCUGCCCGCCUCGGCCUCCCAAAGUGCUAGCAUUACAGGCGUGAGCCACCGCGCCUGGCCGUAUUUAUUAAAUGUGUGUUGAACUUACGUACCCGAGCACAGGCUAGACACUAGGGAGGGGAACGGGCGGUGAUUAGAAAUGAACAAGAUCCUGCCAAGAGGAAUUCACAGUCUAGCGCGCGAGGCAGACCAGAAUGGCUGAGGCAAGAAACCUGUGCCAGGGCCUGGAGUAGGCUCAGAGGCUGUUGGUGAGGCAAAAAGCAUGUUGGCUUUGGAGCCCAGCUCAUCUGGUUUCAAAUCCUAGUUCUGUCAUUUACCAGCUACGUGACAUUGGGCACGUGACUCAAUCUCCCUGAGCCUCAGUUUCCUCGUCUAUAGAAUACAGGCAUUAAUACCUACAUUUCAGGGUUAUUGUAAAACUUAAUUGAGGUGAGAAAAAUGUAUGUAGGUGUCUGGCAUAUGGUACUUAAUAAAUGGUAAAUUUUAAAAUGUCUUUGCUUAUUUUGGUAGUCUGAUAGCUUCUAAAGAUAUGUCCAUGUUCUAAUCCCCAGAACCUGUGAAUGUUACCUUAACUGGAAAAUGGGUUCAUCUUUGAGGAUGUGAUUAAGAAUCUUGAGAUGGGGAGAUUAUUCUGGAUUAUCCAGGUGGGCCCUAAAUGCCAACACAAGUGUCCUUAUGAAAGAGAGAGAGAGAGAGAAAUUAUACAUAUAUCAAAGAGUAGAAGGUGAUGUGAAGACAGAGGCAGAAACUGCAGUGAUGGGGCCACAAGCAAAGGAAUGCUAGUAGCCACUAGAAGCUGAAAGAGACAAGGAACAGAUUCUCCUCUAGAGCCUCCAGAAAGAGCAUACCCCUGCCAACACUUUGAUUUUGGUAUAAUAAAAUGGAUGUUGAACCUCUGAUCUCCAGAAGUGUAAGAGAAUAAACUUCAGUUGUUUUAAGACA